UAAAAGCACUUGCGUCGGAACUAAAAACGCAGCAGAAGAGGCAGGAGUUGGAUGAGUAUACAGCAGAAGAGAAAUGUUGCUAUUGUUCAGCAUCAGUUCCUUUUGUUUCAGCAGAAGUUGCGGUUUGCAAUGGUUUGGGCAGCAAAAAUGGAGGUGAUCAGAAGCACAAA